CCCUUCCCCUUUUCUCUAGUGGCGCGCUCCCUGCCCAUCCUCAUUCUCUCGCCAACUCGGUAGCAGCCCAGCAAUGGCGGAGGGUCCGACCUGCCUGUCUACUCCCCGCGUUUCUUGACCGGUUCACAGCUCCGCUCGCCCCGUCCCCAGAAGUGACGACUUCCCCACGGCCCUGCCUGUGUCCCGUCGGGCCUCGCGACUGCGGCGGAAAGAUGGCGGCGGCGGGAGCUGUGGAACGGAGCUUCUUGGAGCUAAGCGGGGCUGAGCGCGAAAGGCCGAGGCAUUUUCCGGAAUUCACAGUCUGCGGCGUUGGGACUGUGAAUGCCGUGGCCGGAAGGGUGAAAUACGGUGAGAGCGCGGGAGACUUCUACUAUUUGGAAAGUGGUAAAUUAUUCUGCGUCACCAGAAGCAGGUUUAUUCAUUGGUAAGUGCCAUGUUCGCCAAACCCCCUUGGAAAGUAGGGUUGUUGGGUGUCAGGAUUUUCGUGGCUAUUUCCAAAGUGUCAUUUUCCAGAAUGAUAAUCGACAGUUAGGAAAGACUGUUUUCAAUUUAUGUCUGAUACACGGGAAAAUUAAGGAGACAGAAAGUUCUAGGAGAGAUACAGCCCACGCAGCACUAAAAGCAGAGCUUGGAAUAAAGCCCUGAAGACCAGGUUUUAAACAUGAACCCAUUAUAUUUUAUAGUGCUUUACACCUGCCUUCAUUCUGCAAAUUUUUGUUGAACUUCUACAUGUCAGGCAUUGUGGUAGAUACAGGGAUAAAAUGGUGAGCAAAAAACAAAACAAACCUGCUUUUAUACUGUCGUAUGCAUGAUCUCAUUUAAUUCUUGAAACAACUGUGAGUUAGAUAUUGCCAUGUGCCUAUUAUAGAUAAAGAGACUAAGUGUACAUAACUAUUAUUAAUUUAUUUAUUUUCUGAUCAAGUCACUCAUUUAAUAGUUAUAUGUUGGGCUUUUACUUAGUGCAGGCACUGUGCUAGGUGCUAGUGUUGUAGUAGGCAAAGGACAUAUAUGGACCCAGCUUUCAUGAGGCAGUUUUGUGGAGGAAAAAAAGACAUUAAACUAAUGAGCACUAUUAUAGGUAUAUAAAUAGCUAUAAAUACAUGCCCCUAAGGAAAAGUAUAGGGGCUGUGAGAGGUCAAUGGGAGGACCUAAUUUAGAUUGAUGGGGCAGAGAAGGUGUUUGAGAAAGUCACAGUUAAGCUGAGAUCUGAAGGAUGGAAGGUUAUCUAGGUAUUGGAGAAGGGAAGCAGUCCUUCAAGAAGGAUCAACAUAUGCAAAGGCCAUGAGAUGGAAAGAAGUUGGGAGGUUUGAGGAACUGACCAAAAGUCUGUGUGGCUUGACUGCAGUGGGUAAAGGAGGAAGUGGUGGGAGAGAUGCUGAGACUAGAGAGGUAGGCAGAACUCAGACCACGAAGGAUCCUCCUCAGGCCACUUUAAGGAUUUUGGAUUUUUAUCCACAAUACAUUGUGUGUUUAUUGACAGGUUUUUAAAGAGUUACUAACGUGAUCAAAAUUGCAUUUUUGGAAGAUUAGUUUACUGUGUGAAAAAUGGACUUGGGUUGGGUAGGGGUAAUAGAAAAGAACAGUUUGCUUUUGUGAUGGACCAAGUAAGAGAUGCUGGUGGUUUGCAUCGUGGGAAUGGCUAUGAAAAGAGAAGUAGAUGUAUUUAAGAUAUAUGUGGAAGGUAGAUUUGCUCAGACUUGGUGAAGGAUUGAAUAUUGGGGGUUGGGGGGGAGCAAGGACAAGUCCCAGGUUUCUAAUGUGACUAACCAGAUAUUGGGUGGGGGGGACGUUCUUGCCAUUUACUGAGAUACACAAGGUGAGUUUUGGAGAGAUGUGAAUAAUUCUUUUGUAUGUAUCGCAUUUAAAGUACCUGUGCAGCAGCUCCAUGGAAUUGUCAAGUAGGCAUUGGGAUUUACAGGGCUGAGGUCAGAAGAGAGAUAGGCAUUUUAGAUAUGUUAGAUACAAAUUUCAUUUACUUAAGAAGUAUUUUUGAGUGUCUGCUAUGUUCCAGCCAAUGUUUAGGGACUUCGAAUACAGCAAAGACCCCACUCUCAUUGAGAGAUAGGCAAUAAAUAACAAAAAUAAAAUAAACAAGUGGAAUAGAGGGAAGCAAGGUUAGAGAGAAGGGGAAUGCCUACAGGAGUUACUAUUUUAUAUAGGGUGGUUGGGCAAGACCCAGUGAUAAGCUGGCAUUUGAGCAGAGGAAAUGAGGAUAUCUGGGAGGAGAGCAUUUCAGGUAGAGCCUUCCAAGAAAGAACAAAAAGUGCAAAGAACCCUGAGACAGGAGUUUGUUAUGUUCAAAGAAUGACAAGGGACCAGGAGUCUCAGCUGAGUGAACAAAGAAUAAAAUACUAAGAGAGAGGUAGCCAAGGGCCAGAUCAGGGCUUUGUCGGUUAUCUCAAGGCUUUGGCUUUUCUUCUGAGUGAGAUGGGAAGAAGCCAUUGGAGAGUUUUAAGUAGAGGAAUGACAUAAUCUCAGCUGUGUUUUUGAAGGGUUCACUGUGACUGCUGCAUUGAGAGUAAAGUGUAGUAUGAGGAGGGUGGAAGCAGAGACCAGUUAGGAGGCUGCUGCCACAUUCCAGACGAAAUGAUUAUGGCUUCCACCAGGUGGUAGUAGUAGAGGUAGUGAGAAAUGGUUAGAUUUUGGAUAUGUUUUGAAGGCAAAUUUGUUAGAAUUUACUAAUGGAUCAACUGUCGGCAGGGACAGAUUACCCAAUAAGCAAGGUGUAUGCACAGGCUUAAUUGUGCUUACUUUCUAAUCUGUAGUGCACAAUUUCACCUGCGUUUCAAAUCAGUGACGAGAAACCCAGGUGAAAUUGUGCACUACCGAUUAGUAAGUAAGCACAAUUAAGCUCGAGCGUUCCUUGCUUACUGUAAGCUGCUGCAUACCAUGCUUACUGGUUAAUCCGCCCCUGAAUGUAGGGUAUACAGAAAGAGAAGCUUCAAGGGUAACCCCAAGAUUUUUUGCUUGAGCAACUAGAAGCUAUGGAGACUGUUAUUAGAGAUGGGAAAGCAUGCAGUGAAGCCAUGGGUUUUUGUUUCUUUGUUGGAUUUGGUAGGUCUAGGAAUUCUGUUUUGGACAGGUUUAGUUUGAGAUGCCUGUUAGAUAUCUAAGUGGAGGUGCUGUGGUAGUAGUCCAGAAUUCAGUGGAGAGCUUGGGCUGAAGAUGGAUUUUGGGAAUCAUUGGCAUUAGAUGACAUUUAAAGCUGGUACACUGAAUGAGUGUUGAUCAGUGCUUCUCAACCUCAGAACUAUUGGCAUUUGGGCCUGGAUAUGACUCAAAGGCAACUAACAACAACAAUUCUUUGUUGUGGGGGCUGUCCUGUGCAUUGUAGGAUGUCGAACAGCAUCCCUGGCCUCUGCCCACUGCAUAUAGUAGCACCCUCCCCAUCCCAGUUGUGACAACUAAAAAUGUCUCCAGGUAUUGCCAAAUGUCCUUGGGGUUGGGGAGGGAGAAAUUGCCCCCGAUUGAGAACCACUUGUGUAGAUGAAGGAAGAGAGAAGGACUGAGCCCUGGGGUCACUCCACCGUUUAGGAAGAUGAGGAACCAGCCAAGGAGAUGAGAAGGAAUAGCUAGGGAGGUGGGAGCUGAACUAAAGAAAGUGAUGUUCCAGAAGCUAAGGGGAAUAGUCCAAGGAGGAGGAGAGUGAAAAACCUUCAAUUGUUGUGUAUAAGUCAGGUAAGAUGAGAACUGAAAAUUGACUUUUGCAUCAUGGAGAUCAUUGGUGACCUUGUCAACAACUGCCCCAGCAGACUGGGUAGGCAACAGCCUGUGUGGAGUGAGCUCCAGACAGAAGGGGAGGAGAGGAAUUGUGACUAUAGAGCAGCUCUUUCAAGGAGCAUUGUCCUAAGGGAAGCAGAGAAAUCAACUGGUGGCUGGAGUGUGAUGGAUCGUACAGACAAACAGUAUGUUUAUAUGCCGUUGGGAGUGAUCUAGAAGGUGCAGUUGAGGGCAGCCACUGUGGGGGGGAAGGUUCAAGAAACCAAGAAGAUGGGAUAUUAAAAAAGCACCUACGUGGAUAUUGAAAUCAUUAAGAAUUAUGGCAGAAUGGUAUGGGAGAGAGUGACAGUGAGCCAGGAGCUAAGGUCUUCGAGGAAUGAAAGGCCUGUGUAGGUAACUGCAGUAAGCAAGAGUGGGAGGUAGCAUCUGAUGGCAUGAGCCCCAGAGCCGAGUGGUUUGGACAGGGAAGGCUGCACAGUGGUCUAGAAGUGGAAAUGGGGAGCAAGCAGGACAUCUGAACCCUACCUUGAGUGAGGCCCCACUACAAGGAGGGUGGUAGAGAAAGCUGCCACCAUUAGAGAGGGCUGCUGGGGACAGUGUCCUCAGGGAAGAUCCAGAACCCAACUUUACCCAGAAGGCAGGAAGGUGAAGGGAGUGUUGAGAAGGGGUUGAGGAUACAGAAAAUUGUGCUGAUGACGUAGCAUGAGUUUGCUGCAAGGAGGAAUCUGUUUCAGUAUUCUGGAGAAAAUGUGACCACAGCAGAGGCAGAGAAGGCCAUUAAAUGUCAUCUGGUGCUGCUGAGAAGGCACGAAGGAAAAGGGUACAGUAGUCCAAGAAGGGAUGGCCGCAUAAUUGCAGAGGUGGAGGGGAAGGAACAGUGUCAGGAAGAGGAACGCAUCGGAUUUGACAGGCCCCAGUGCUGAGUGAAGGACAUAGACGAGUAAAUAUGUGCCAGUGGUUUUUAUAACAUACUGGUAAGUGAAAAAUAAGAAACCUCUUUCUUAGAGUGAGGUAACAUUCAUCUUCUGUGAUGGGUAUAACUAGGCACAGGGAUGGGGGGCGUUUAAGAGUUUUAAUCUGAAUUCAGACGGUGGACUUAGCGGCCUUAGGCAGAGUGUUUGUUUCAUAUAGGAAAUGUGGUGCAACUUGAGUUUGAAUAAAGUUUUUUGGUUUUUUAUUUUUCAAACUUUUUAUGUAUUUUCUGAAAAAACAUUUAUUGAGUUCUAGCUAUGUCCUUGGAACUUUGCUGGGUCUGAGGAUAUCACUGUGCAUAAGACAUAGUUUACAGUCAUUUAUUAAUAAACAUCCUCCUUCUGAGGAAUAAAGUGGAAGUUGGAAUAGCUUAUCACUAAACAAACUAACCAUAAGUUCAACCUGAAAAGUUAUUAUGUUUUAAAAAUAUUUUUUUAGUAAGACAUACUGUCCCCUAAAACAUAUAUAUACAAGGGCAAAAACCGUAAAAUUGCCAUUCUUUUGUGCUAUUCCAAGUUAAGAAAGUUAGAGGAGGGAAAUACCCACAUUUAUUGAGGUCAAUUUUGUUUGGCUCUGUAGUAGUAUAUGUGGAGGCCACAUUCCACUCCAGCUAAUGGGGGUAUGUGGUGUGGAUUUUCAUUAUAGCAGAGUUUAUUGCCUUGCAUAUUGAUCUCAAUAAAUGGGCAGUCAGGUUUGUAAAUGCCUCUGUUUAACAGGGACUCAUAUAAUAAGAUUUGAAUAUUAUGUUAUGCUGUGUUUUGUAAAUCUACGUAAUGUGAUUUGGAAUGUAAAACUUGGUCUGAAUUCAUUUAUGCAAAUUUUUCAAAUUGGAAGAGUUCACUGGAAAUCAUUCUGCCAUAUUUUAAUGUAAUUGUCAAUGAGGAAAAAAAAUGCAUAAAUUUUUUAAACACGUCUCUUUUAACAAGAAAACCUCAGGAGAUACAUUGGAGCUGGUGGAGGAGUCACUGGAUGUAAACCUGUUGAAUAAUGCAGUUCACCUCAAAUUCCAAAACUGCAGCAUCUUACCCAGAGGCGUGUAUGUCUCUGAGACUCAGAAUCAUGUGAUAAUCUUGACAGUGACCAGACAGCGCACAGGCUACUUUUACCACACCCUUCCUGGAUGUAUAGGAGUGUAAGUUGGUUAUUUCCCAAAUUACUCUGGCUUCACAGACUCAGUGCUAGAGCAAUACCCUUGGAAUCAAAGGAUAUUUAGACUCCUUGUUAGCCCUCACCAGGUGGUUGAUCAACUACACAUUUUUAAGCUGAAGAAAAUAAUGUUCAUUAAAAAGAAUAGCUUUCUUUUCAAGCUUUAUGUUUUUUACUUUCAAGUCUUUUGUAGCAGUGGAGAGGAACCUAGCAGAACUUGGGUUAUUUUGAUUUAACAGGUGUUUCUUUUUAUUUACUCCACAGGAGUUGGUAACUGAAAGUCAGAUGCAGUCAAUAUUCACCGACAUUGGAAAGGUUGAUUUCAGGGAUCCUUGCAGCUAUCAGUUAAUUCCCACUGUACCUGGACUGUCCCCUAAUUCUUCUGCCUCAGCAGCCUGGCUUAGCAGUGAUGGGGAGGCUCUGUUUGCUCUACCGUCUGCUUCUGGGGGAAUCUCUGUUCUUAAACUACCUCCUCAUGCAAUACCUGGGAUGGUGUCAAUUGUGGAACUGAAACAGUUCAGUAAUGCAACAAUUACUUAUAGGCUGGAUGCCAGCAGCUAUCAGGACCAAAUGUGCCUGAUGGUGGCCGACAUGCUGGAGUACGUCCCUGGGCUCGCUGCUGGGACUGGACACAAAUUGCGGCUUGCUUACUCCCCGUCCUUGGGACUCUACCUGGGGGUAUACAUGCAUGCUCCGAAACACGGACAGGUAGGUUUAUCAUCCUUUGCCUGUCGGCCAAGUACAAGAACGAAGUCCUCGCUAGCCCUACUGUUUCUUAAUGGGACUGAAGUCUUAAAGCUGCAAUAUUUCAUGAAGUAGGCAAACAGAAUUCAUUUGGAUUGUACCAGUUUCAUGUGCUGCCAUCUUUGGUUUUUAUGCAUUUUACCUCUCCCCCCAUACAAAUUUAAUUCACCAGAAAAUACAGUCGACCCUCCAUAUCCAUGGGUUCCACAUCUGUGGAUUCAACCAACCGAAGAUUGAAAAUAUUCGGAAAGGAAAAAAAAUAGUAAGUUCCAAAAAGCAAACUUGAAUUUGCUGUGCGCGAAGCACUAUGCUGAAUCCAUGCAAAUGAAGUGAUAUCUGGCAUACCCUGCUAUGGCCUCCCACCAUUUCACAGGUCCUCAGUCUCUCGCCAGCACUCACUGUUUCAGCAUUGUUCACUUGGCAUCUCGUUAGUUCGCUACUUGUGUUGUGUUCACCGUUUGUUUCUGUGAAAAAGCGGCCCCUAAAAAGCACUUAUGUGGUCAAAGCAAUCCCUCAAAGACAAAGAGGGAGUUUAAGUACUAUCUAAGUUACAGCUACUGAUCCCAUCCUUGCUGAAGCAAAGGAGAAUGAAGAAAACCAAGGACAUAAGGGAAAGGUUAGUCCAAAGGACUAAUGGACCACAACUACCACGACCUCCACCAGACUGAGCCCA